AGUCGAACGCGAAAGGCUCCUCCGGGAGCCGAGUAGAGUGGCAGACGGGUGAGUAACGCGUGGGUAACGUGCCCCAAUCCUGGGAAUAACCCUCGGAAACGAGGGCUAAUACCGAAUGUGGCCCCCGAUCGGAUGAUCGGUGGCUAAAGGUGGCCUCUUCUAUGCUGCCGGGUUGGGAUCGGCCCGCGUCCCAUUAGCUAGUUGGUGAGGUAACGGCCCACCAAGGCAACGAUGGGUAGCCGGCCUGAGAGGGUGUCCGGCCACACUGGCACUGAGACAAGGGCCAGUCCCCUAUGGGAGGCGCAGGCGGGAAUAGUUCCCAAUGGACGAAAGUCUGAGGACGCGACGCCGCGUGAGCGAAGAAGGCCUUCGGGUUGUAAAGCUCUGUCAGGAGGGAAGAAGGCGCUGGGUGUUAAUAGCACCAAGCGUUGACGGUACUUCCAGAGGAAGCCCCGGCUAAAUACGUGCCAGCAGCCGCGGUAAUACGUAUGGGGCAAGCGUUGUCCGGAUUAACUGGGCGUAAAGGGCACGCAGGCGGUUCGUUUAGUCGAAGGUGAAAUCCCUGGGCUCAACUCAGGAACUGCCUUCGAUACUGGCGAACUAGAGUGGCGUAGAGGAAAGCGGAACUCCUGGUGUA
rnacentral:rRNA from 1 species